rnacentral:rRNA from 1 species
UGAAGAGUUUGAUCAUGGCUCAGAUUGAACGCUGGCGGCAGGCCUAACACAUGCAAGUCGAACGGUAACAGGAAGCAGCUUGCUGCUUCGCUGACGAGUGGCGGACGGGUGAGUAAUGUCUGGGAAACUGCCUGAUGGAGGGGGAUAACUACUGGAAACGGUGGCUAAUACCGCAUAACGUCGCAAGACCAAAGAGGGGGACCUUCGGGCCUCUUGCCAUCAGAUGUGCCCAGAUGGGAUUAGCUAGUUGGUGAGGUAACGGCUCACCAAGGCGACGAUCCCUAGCUGGUCUGAGAGGAUGACCAGCCACACUGGAACUGAGACACGGUCCAGACUCCUACGGGAGGCAGCAGUGGGGAAUAUUGCACAAUGGGCGCAAGCCUGAUGCAGCCAUGC